rnacentral:pre_miRNA from 1 species
UGAGGUUUUGUUUGCCAGAUAUGUUUGAGAUUUCAUACUGGCCCUCAAAACCCCAAA